CUUUCAUAGUGUCCCACAGGUUUGGGUACAUUUUGCCUUCAUUUUUGUUGAAUUCUGGGAAAUCUGUAAUUUAUUUACUUCUUCCUGGACACAGGGGUGAUUCAAUAGAACACUGUUUAAUUUCCAUUUGUUCGUGGACUUUCUAAAAUUAGUGUUGCUGUUGAAUUCUAAUUUUAAACCUUGGUGAUCUGGAGCAAUUUGCAGUUCUGAACAAGUCAAAAUUCUCUUUACUUCAUCAAACACUUUUCUAAGAUAUCUGCAUCUGAAUCAGCUAGAAAGAUAUCAUCCAUAUAAUGGCAAAUUAUACACUGUACAUGAAUUAUUUCUAAUGACUGUUGUACAAAACAUUGACACAAGGUGGAGCUAUUUAAAAUUCCUUGGGGAGGAAAUUUUCCGCUGAUAUCUUUUAACGGGCUGGGAGUUAUUAAAAAUAGGCAAAGGGAAGGCAAAUUUUUCUCUGUCCUGCUCUCAAAAAUGUGUGAUGUAAAAAACAGUUCUUUAAAUCAAUCACUAUAAUAGACCAUCAUUGAAGUAAAAAGGAAGGCAAGAGAAUUUCACACUGUAAAGUGCCCAUUGGCUGGACCACUUUAUUAAUAUCUCUCUGAUAAGCUAUUGUUCUCCACUUUCCAGAUUUCUGUUUAAUGACAUUCUAGGAGAAUUUCAAGGACUGGUCGACUCCUCAGUGUGUUUACCAUGUAGCUGCUCCUGUAUCAGCUGCUCUAGUGCCUGCAAUUUUUCUGAGGUCAAAGGCCAUUGUUCCAUCCACUCAGGGUUGUCAGCUAACCAUUUUAAAGGUAGGGUAGUUGGUGCCUUUGUGUUCUGCUUGUGAGCAACCUGAAGGCCUCUUACUGUUCCUGAUAACACUUUUUAAGAUUUUUCUCAGAGCAUUCUUUAUUUUAUGGUUUGUUUAUGAAAUUGGAGGAUUAAUCUGUGUUUUCCAUUGCUGUAACAAAUAAUGUCCCAAUAAAUUCAUCUUUAUAUUAGUCACAUAUGCCUUUAAUUUUCCUAUAUAUUUGACCCAUCCUAUACUUUAUCUUAUGUAGAUAAAGUUUCAAUUGCUAGAAGCUGAACAUUUACCUCCUGACAAAGCCAAUCUGGAGGCCAAGAUUUUGGUGAACUUGUUGUUACAUCUAUCCUCAUGUGAACCAAAACUUCAGUUUCAAAGUCAUUUAUUCAUAUUUUAAGCUUUGGUGUUUGGUCAUUUAUAACAGUUUAUCAAAAUAUUUGUUGUAUGUUCUCUCCUGAAUUUUUUAUCUACUAAAGCUGUUCUGUCCUUGAUUACAUCCAGAGUAGUGCUGUUUUUAACGCGAGACAUUAAGUCUUUUAACUGCUCUGUGGACAAGUUUCUCCAGUGUUGUCAGGCAAUGAUUGAACAAAAUUUGAUACUGGGUCCUGUGAGAGGCCCCUCUAAAGCAUUUCCCAAUGGCAAAGGGUUACCUUGCCUGUCUCUUAUUGAUCUAAAUCUAUUAAUCUAAUGCCAGACUUAGCCAAACCUUCUGUGUAUUCAAGGGGGCUGUGGCCUUCUUUUUGAACUAUGUCAAGAAAAAGUAUUGUUUCUAGUAAUGCUUUGCCUACAAUCCUUUUCAAGUGGCCUUAUUUACCAUGAUUAAAACAUCUGACAUUUUGAUUUUUCUUAUAAUUUUUAAAAAUCACUUCUGCUAUCAAAGUAGCAUUGUAAGUGUGAUCUCACUUUUGCAUUCAGAAUUAGCAUUUUCAAAAGCCAAAGAUUCAAUUAAUAUUUGUCUGGUUACUGGAUCUGAUAUCAUUCUAUUUAAAGCUGAACUCAAUCUUUGCCAAAAAAGAAAGUGAAGGCUCCUGCUGGGCCUUGUAUAAUUUUAGUAAAUGACUCAACCCUCUUUCCUGAUUUUUCAACCUUGUCCCAAGUAUUUAAGGCUGCUGGACAACAUAGGCCAAGGUGUGAUCAUCAGCUUCACACUGUUCUUGCUCAUCAGAAUACUGACUGAGACACUGGUCUUGGGGACAUCAACACCUCUGGCUCUAGUUCAUUGUUCUAUGGCCCUCGCUUCCUCUGUCCACCUUGUCCUCCAUUGUAACUGAGGACCAGCUUCUAAUAUUGCUAUAGCUAAAUCUUUCCAAUCUUGGUGGAUAAGCUGCCCAUCAAUUUAACCUCUCCUCUUGCUUUGGAUAAAGUGGCUUGAGAAAGUUUGGGAACACACAGGGACAUCUCUGAAAAAAUUUAGAUGGGAUGAAAGUCCUCCCAGUGGGGCUCCCCAGGGAAGGAGAGCACAUGGAUGAAGAGCUGGACCGACUCUCGCUUGAGCCUGUUGAAUGCAUUCAUGCUAGGUGCAAUGAAAAACCUCCCAGAGCUAGGAGAAGAAAAAGACACCCCAUAUAGACCUUGAAAACGGCUAUUCUUCCCUUUGUUGUACAAGUAUGUAAACCAUAUCUUCAUGCAGAUAUUUAUAACUAUUCUUUUCCCACAAAGACUCAGCAAGGUCCCUGUUUACUGUCCCGUGAAAUGCCAUGCUAGAACCCAGAGCAAGCUAGCUGGGCCUGUGUAAGCAGCAGGAACGAUGGUGUUGAUGUGGAUUCACGUCCAGAAAAAAGGAGGUGAAAAGCUUCUGAAAGAAUGUUUCAGUCUCACCAAAGCUCCUCUCCACUGACCACCAUCUCAGAGCUUCUGUUCUCCAGACCUGUGGGCUGUCCUUCAGAUGUGUCCAGAGGUCCUCCUAGCUCAGAGUCUGUCAUUCUUAGAAAAAUUCCAUGCAUGUCCAAAAGCAUAUCUCAUAUCUGAGCAGCUACACUCACAAGAGCAAGUGAAAGCAGGGAGAGACAGAAAUGAAGAGGACACGAUAAAUCUACCAGAGGCAGCGCUGCCUUGAGCUGAGCUACGCUGGAUACAGAACUCACAGCAAAGACAAAAAGCUUUGCAUCCGCACAGAACCAGGAACCCCACAGCGUGACAAGGCGUGCUAGGAUAAACAGGUAAUGGUUCACUUGUCGGCUGUGUCCGAAGUGUCACUUAAUCUGGCCACUGAGAUUCUGACCACUGUAAUGGCUUUUGGGGGAGGCUGGCUUCUCAUUAACAGUCCUGUUCAGAUGCCAUGGGACACCCCCCUUCCCGCGGGAUGGAUACCAAGCUGGUAUGCACCACCAGGAUGUGAAAGAAUGAGAGGAACGCUUGCUGACGCGGGUAAGGAGCCAGUGCAGGAUCGCUUGCUGACGCGGGUGAGGAACCCCGUGCAGAAAUGCGCUGCUGCGGGUAAGGAGCCCCGUGCAGGAACGCUGGCUGCUGCGGUUAAGGAUCUCACCACAGAGACUUUGCGAAGCUGAGCUCUGUGAACAAAGAAAGCAGGUCUGUGAAGGAAGCAAGGCAGACUCUACAGGGAAAACUGGAACUCUAGAGACUUGGGCGCAUCUUUCAACAUGUGGAAUUUGAGGUCAUGGUCCACAUGUAAAAACCAAACCAAACCAAAAUACAGCAGAAUGCGUCUUGCACAUAACUCAUUCUAGUCACCGAAGGAGCUGAGUCAGAGCUACUUAGCAGUUUUGGUUGCUUUCUGCUAAGAUUCUGGUGGCAGGUAUGGCAGAGGAUUAUUUUAUUAAACCACAACAAGAACAGAUUCUGAAAGAGCAUUAAGCGCUACAUGAAGGGGCAGCAGGGCGUAUUAAAGCUGUCAUGCCCUUGUGCCUAGGGACCCUUGCUCUGUUUUGAUGAUGUUUUCAUUUGCAGGAGUAAGUUCUUCGUUUGCUCAUGGCCGGUGCCGUGGGGGCGGUGGUGUCUCCAUGCACAAAGAGUGGUAGAGUCAUCCUGCCUCUGCAUUUUCACACAAAACAGACUCGCCCAGGGCAAGACUCAGCCUGAAAGCCACUGUCACACAGCGCAGAGCGACUUAGAGCUUGACUGUGACUUAGUCAAGGCACAGCUGGGUUUCCACACAACCAUUGCCCAGAGCGUGGGAGACGACACGUGGCUAAGAGCUACAUGGACCCCUGAGAUCUCUGCGGAGAGAGUUCAGCUCCCCUGGGCCAGAGGAAGGCCGAUAGAAACCAGAGCAAAGUCUCCUUUUCCCUCCAUUAGCCUUUGAAUCUUUCUAUGAUGUCUCCUGCUGGCAAACAAAACACCCAAGAAACAAGCUGACAAGAUCAUCUGGGAUGUGUACUCUUUAGAGUCCUGGUUCCAGAAGUCUAGAGAAGCCCUCUAAAGGGUAUGUCUGGGGGCAGGUAACAUAGGUGACCACGUAUUCCUGCUCCUGUGUCUACUCUGUAAUCUCUUGUUCAUGCAGUGGUCUCUAGUAUGUUGUGGGAAUUCAUUCCGCCAAUAGUUUUGGGGUACAAGUCUUUGGACAUGACUUCUGUGUGCAGGCAUGAUCUCUUAUAAGGAAGAGGAAGGGGCUCUCUUGGGCUCUUGGGUUGUGGUCAGAGAUUGGACCACUGCAUCCAUUGACCCCAGGGCAGAAUGGAAGACCAGGGUAGCUCCCUACCUUGUUGUUAAUCCUAAGUGUUCCCUAAUAAAUCUGUUAUCUUUUUA